AGGCUCGACUUGCAGUUAAUUUUCAUAAAUCUUCAUGUUUAUAAUCAGUGGCGCAUAAUAGUUUUAUUAAAACCUUUUAAGUUAAACUUAUUUAAAUUUAACCAGUAGACAUUAUUUUGUUAUCAAGAGACAAAUAUUUUUCUUGUAUCUUACUUUCCUAUUUGCAUUUCUUGCAAAAAAAUUUUUUAUUAAUUUUACGAGCAGCCUGAAAUUUGUACCUCGUGUUUUCAAUUUCCCUGAUUGCCGGAUUCUCUUGGUCCUGACGUUGAAUUGGCUUUGGAGCGAAAAUACAACAAUAACAAUUUCCACAACAAAUACUCCUCCAUCCGGCUGGUCCCCAUAGAAAAAGCGACCACCACCCAUAUAAAAAAACGAAGAACAAGACAAUAAUAACAAAAAGAAAAUUUAAAAACUAUGGAGGAGGCUUUUCCGACUAAACUGGGCCAUACAAUACUAGACCAAAAAAAAUUAUAUUAAUUUCUUACAACUUAUAAUAACACAACUAAUAUUAAGAAAUGUUAACUUAGCAAUGUUUGUAUGGAUUCAUUAAGAAUCUCUAAUAAAAAAAUUAACAAAAAUUUCAAUUACUUGUAACGAUUUGA